rnacentral:tRNA from 1 species
AGCCCCGGUAGCUUACAUUUAGAGCAUAGCACUGAAGAUGCUAAGGUGGCGAACUGUUCACGCCCCGGGGCGAC